GUGGGGAAUAUUGGGCAAUGGGCGAAAGCCUGACCCAGCAACGCCGCGUGAGGGAAGAAGGUUUUCGGAUUGUAAACCUCUGUCCUUGGUGACGAACACAAUGACGGUAGCCAAGGAGGAAGCCCCGGCUAACUACGUGCCAGCAGCCGCGGUAAUACGUAGGGGGCAAGCGUUGUCCGGAAUGACUGGGCGUAAAGGGCGUGUAGGCGGCCGAUUAAGUCUGGAGUGAAAGUCCUGCUUUCAAGGUGGGAAUUGCUUUGGAGACUGGUUGGCUUGAGUGCGGAAGAGGCAAGUGGAAUUCCCAGUGUAGCGGUGAAAUGCGUAGAGAUUGGGAGGAACACCAGUGGCGAAGGCGACUUGCUGGGCCGUAACUGACGCUGAGGCGCGAAAGCGUGGGGAGCGAACAGGAUUAGAUACCCCGGUAGUCC
rnacentral:rRNA from 1 species